AGCGAACGCUGGCGGCAGGCUUAACACAUGCAAGUCGAGCGGGCACUUUCGGGUGUCAGCGGCGGACGGGUGCGUAACGCGUGGGAACGUGCCCUCUGGUUCGGAAUAACUCAGGGAAACUUGAGCUAAUACCGGAUACGCCCUUUUGGGGAAAGGCUUGCUGCCGGAGGAUCGGCCCGCGUCUGAUUAGCUAGUUGGUGAGGUAACGGCUCACCAAGGCGACGAUCAGUAGCUGGUCUGAGAGGAUGAUCAGCCACACUGGGACUGAGACACGGCCCAGACUCCUACGGGAGGCAGCAGUGGGGAAUAUUGGACAAUGGGCGCAAGCCUGAUCCAGCCAUGCCGCGUGAGUGAUGAAGGCCUUAGGGUUGUAAAGCUCUUUUAUCCGGGACGUUAAUGACGGUACCGGAGGAAUAAGCCCCGGCUAACUUCGUG
rnacentral:rRNA from 1 species